rnacentral:lncRNA from 1 species
CCUUUAAAAUGCCUAAAGUGCCUUCCACCGAUCUUUUGGUCACAGUUUCCUCUGGUUCUGUGUCUUCAAAAUCUAUGGGAUGAGCAACAUGGAAAACUCCGAUACAUCCUUCAAUGGCUGCUUCAAAACUGCUGGGAUCACUCAGAUCUGCGUUGUAGAUUCGGAGCUUUUCCGAUGCUCCCGGAAGGUUUGUCAGGUAGCUAACGUCUUUCUUGCUCUCUGAUCAUGUGGAAAUUUUUGCAAUUUCUAGAGUUAGCUUCUUUGCUAAAAAAGCCCUAAAAAAAACCAGAAUGGCAAAACAUUUCGUACUCCAAAACACGAUUAAUAAUUUUAUUAGUUUCGAAAAACUAAACUUAAAAAAAAUGAGGAAAAAAAAAAAAAAAGAUUAUAAAAUUCAAAAAAUUUGCAUACGAGGGUGAGAUCGAAUGGUAGCAUUAACAGAGUAACCGUGUUGCAGAAGCUUCAUGACGAGCCAUGAGGCUAUGAACCCUGUCCCACCUGUUACACACACUCUGCCUUUCUCGCCUUCCAUUUCUUCUCUCUCUCUUCUCUUUGUUUCUCUGUCUCUGUGUGUCCCCUCUCUUGAUUUCUUUCUCUCCCUUUCUCUAGUAGGUUGCAUAUCAAUCUACAUACUUUGUCCCUCUUGAGUCUUGAUUUCUUUCUCUCGCUUUCUGUGUUAGGUUGCAUGUCAAUUCAGUCCCAUAUAAUCUAUUUAAUAAAAAGGAUGAUAUUCUUAAAUAUACAACUGGGGAGAGCGGGACAAGAGACUACCAUCGAGACUACCAGGCACACCACAACCAACAGGCAAGACAAACGAGACUUGGGAAAGCUGGCAACCCAAUCGGGAGACAGAGUCUCGUUAAAUAAUAGAUUUCUUUCCUCCUAUUCCUUUUUUUCUAGCAAGAUGACAUCAUUACUUACAUGCUCCUGAGAUUAAAUUAAAGAGUAUCGGGUCAAAAUGGGUCAUUUAUUAAAAAAAAAAAAAAAAAAACAACCAAUUUUUCAAAGUUACGAUCAAAUUCGUCUCUUUGUAUUCAAAUUCAUCUCUUUGUCAUAGGCAUCAUGUCAUUAAAUUAUUUUUUUUUUCAUCAUUUUAGUUAAAAUAUCAAUUGAUAGCUGAAACUUCAUUUUUAAACUAAAACCGUAAUUGAUAAUAAGACUUCAUUUUUUAACUAAAGCCUCAAUUGAUAACUGAGACUUUAGUUAAUUAUUUUUUAAAAUUAAAAAUUAUUAAAUUAUAAUUUAUUAUUGAAAAUUUAAAAAUAUAUUUAAAUAAUAAUUAUUUAUAUUUAAACUUAAGAAUCUAGUAUUAUUUUAACAAACAUAAAUUGAUAAAUAAAAAAAAUUAUAACUGAAUAUUUUAUUUAUUAAUAAUCUUAAAAUAAUAAAUUUAUAUAACAUAUAAAUAAUUUAUAAAAUAAAAAUGAAGUGAUUUUAAGUAAAAUGAUGAUUUUUUUUUUUUUUUAAUGAUAUGGCGCCUACGUGACACCAAAAAUGCUAAUUUAAACACAAGUUUCAAAAAGGCUAAUUUAAACACAAGUUUCAAAAAGUGGUUGGAUGUUAUGUUUUUUUUUAAUAAAUGGGUCAUUUUGAACCAAUGCUCCAAAUUAAAUUUAAACCUAUGAGCCCAUCCCGAACACUUCAUACGAAAAUGGAUUAACUCAUUGAAAGACUUGCAAGAAUGUUGAACAUUUUGCCUUCUCAGAUCAUCAGCAGCAGACAAGCAAUUAAUACUGAAAAAUGACUGAAAAUGAAUUAAUUUACUCGGUUGUGGGAUUACCUUUUUACUUUUAUUUAUUCUAAUUACCUUUACGAUCUCUUUUGCUAUCCUACCACCUCCACUAUUAAUCGAUCUUGUUUACUUUAAUUAUAAUUUAUGAAUAUAAAUAUGCUAAUUUUAUAAUUUAAAAUAAGUUUUAAAUUAACUUUAUUAAACAGCCUUAACGUCAAUUAAAAUUUUAAUUUUGUUAGAUUUCAGUUUUGAACAAAAAAAAUCUAUCAAUUUACUGUAACAUAGCCUUAGAAGCAUUUAUCAUCAAGGCAAUGAUCCAAUAGUAAGAGGGGAUCUGAACUAUCAGGUACAUGCCAUGUACUGCUUGUUUCUAAUUUUGAAAAAAUAGGGGUAAACAAAAGCAAAACACCAAACAUGUUCUCUCCAAAACAAUAAAGCUAGGCUCAAAAAGCAUUAAGAGAAUCAUAAAUCAGAAGAUUUGCAGCAUCAACAUACUUUCCUAGUUGAUUUUGAAUCCCCUGUUUUAGUUGGUCCCAGCAUUUCGUGUAGUAAACCUGAAGUAUGAAUCCACCAAUAGUAUAUGAGCAAAGAGGAAGAAAAAAACCAAAAUUAAUAUGUCAAAUUCAACAUCUACUGAUCAAACAAAUGUUCAAUGAGUUCUUAAAAUGAGUUUUCUAUCAUCCCACCAUCAAUACCUUAUCCAACUUCUUGAGUUGGUUGCACAGGCUCUUUUCUCUAAUAUAUGUUUAUCAUACAUUUUCCAAGUGAUCAAUCUUCAAAUAUUUUACUACAACACAAAAGAAGGGUGGGAAGUUUGACCAACAACCUUUUGAACCUUCACCUCAUCUUUUCAAAGCACUGAAGCAGCAUAAUCCGCUUCAUUGGGAUUUCACUAAAUUUUCAGCAGUUUAAUCUUCUUAGUCAAAUCUCUGUUUUGCCCACUGUUGAGCUAGUCCCUAGCACUAUACUGUAAUGCAAUCAUUCUAAAAUUAUGAACUUGUGGCAUGCAGUAUCCACAUAAGUGCCAUCUCCAGAUCCCUACUCCCUACCAUCUUGAAAUCCAAUAACGUUCCAUUGUUUCAAUUGAUUGGCAACUUAAAGCAAAAUGACCACCAAUAGUAAACACAAAUCAUUUUUCAAAAGCAUAUGAUUCGAUGUGUGGGACCUUCUCCACUCAAGGUUCAGAAUUUCUCUGGGAAAAUAAAAGCAAUGAAACUUACAAUUUUAAGAAGAAACCAAAUUUCGGCGGUAUUAAGUUGCUAAAUGGCGUUUCUUUCUUGAAAAUCAAGAAAAAAAAAAUCCAAAUUUCAGGUAGGUCAAAAAAACUUUAAGUCAACAUUCAGUACACCAACGCCGUUUCCCGUUACUGGAAACGCACAAAUUUUUCUCAGGAUUUUCAAUAACCCCCUACUCUCAAAAACAUUCUUCCACGCACAGAUUUCGAAAAUGCCAUAUGUGUUGAUGUCUCACGUCUUUGAGGAUCCACGUAGUUGACAGAUGGAUGGACGCGUGAUCUCAACCCAUAAAGGUUCUUGAUCCAGCCGUUAUACCUGCAAGAAGGCAUCCGGACAGGGUGUCCGGACGCACCCUCCGAUGGUUUUGUUAGCCAUGGUGAGAGAGAGGAAUAUAAAUCAGUUGGCCUUUUACCAGGUAUUAAAAAGUUACCAGGAGGAUCCCCCUCUUCUUCGUGCGAAUGCAUAUAUAUACAGCUUCAGGGUACUGUUCCUUUCAUUAAUGGUGAGGAAAUAUUUUAUGAUGGGAUGUGGGCCAUAGCUGGCUGUCGUGAUAGCGUGUAAGACUUGCUUUACUUUGAUUGAUGAUCCGGACGAUUAUAUCCGGGUGGCACAUGCUUAUUGCCCGGAUGUAUUGUGGGGCGAAUCCAUUAUGAAGGUUGUCCGGAUGUCUGUGCUUUGCCAGCGACGUUUGCUCUCCCUUGGAUAUGAGAAGUUGAAACGUCUUUUGCCUUUCCUUGAGGUGAUCCGGAUAGGAGAACUGCCUCAUGCAUAUCUUUAGGGGAAUCCGGAUGGUGGUGGUUCGGAUGAUGAUGCGUGCCACGUGUCACUGUGAGGUGCGUGCCACGUGUUUUCCAGAGGGAGGGGUCCCUACAAUAUGCCCGCAACCUUUUCAAAAUUUUCACCUCAAAAGCAAAUAAGAAACUCAUUUGUCCACAAAAUAUGAUUUCUAGAAAGAAAAAAAAAAAAAAAAAAAGCUUUUCUUCAUCAUUUCCCUAUCUUUUCGUCCGUUUUCUUAGCAAAGAAGUACAGACAACACAAGUACAACAAACCAAAAUCCAAACAAAAAAAGUCAAAUAAACUUACGAUCGCGGUUGAUUUGACGAAAGUUCUUGUACUCUCCGGCAUUUGACGAAAAAUCAAAGUCCGACAUCGACAUCGCGGAUCCAAAAGAACGAAGAUCAGAGAGCCAAAUGCAGAAGAGAAAAGGCGAGAAAGUUAGAGGGGAGAGUGUCUUCUAGAGAGAGAGUUUUCUGGAGCAAGAAAGGAGGAGAGAUAUGAUCGGAGGAAAGGUCGUUAUGGUUGUGGUGGGAACGUUCUUCUCGAUGAAUAUUUUUAUUUUUUGAAUGUAAAAUAGAACGGGAAUGUCGCAUCCGAAACACCAAAUGCGUCGUCGUUUUGUCUCUUUAAAUGCUUGAAAUUACGGUUCCAUCCUUUCUUGUUUUUAUCUCAUACGGCCCCCAUAUUUUGAAGUGUUCGCCUUUUAACCCUUGAAGGGGCUUCGACCCUGGUGUUGGUGCCAAGACGUGACCACCUCUCAACUCUCACGUUGAUUUAUCUAUUGGAGAUUUUCUACAAAAAUGGGCUACUUGAAGAGACGUGGACAUUUUUUUUGUUUUUUUAGCUUCCAAACUUCUUUAUUUACUUAUUUUUAAUGAAGACACAAUUUUUCCCAAAAUAAUUGCAUUUCAAAUAGGGAUGACAAUGAAAUGGAUUUUUUUAGGUAUCCGCACCUUGCUCCUAAUGAGACAGGGUUCAAUUGUAAUAAACGAGUUUGAGAUUUUUUUUCCCCCAUUUAAUUUUUUAAAUGAGACGGGAUGAGAAUUAUUUUAAAUAAACGGAGCGGGGUUGGAAUGGGGACGACCCGUCCCGAAUCUGUUUCAUUGUCAUUCCUAAUUUCAAAGCAAUUUUUAAUACUUCAAUCAAGUUUUAAAAAAUGUGAUUAAAUUAAAUUUAUAUUAACUACCUCAAAUUAGAACUUAAGUUAAGUUAGAUUUGGAUUGAUUGUUUCUUAAUUAAAUUUAACCCAAUUUAUCUAUUAACUCGAUCCAACCCAUCUAAAUUGUAAUCUUACUUAAAAUGACAACUUCAAUUUUAUUUUAUUUUAAAAAAAAAUGAAUUUAAGUUGGAGUCAUUGUUUCUUAAGUAAUAAUUUGUAUUUUUAAAAGAGGUUGUUACUUGAAGGGAAAAUUUGACUAAAAAUAAAAUAUGAAAUAUUCAACUUUUAUUUUUAAAAAAACUUAAUUUUUAGUUUAAGUGUAAUUUGAAGAAAUAAUUUCAAUGUAAAAGGAAUUAAUAAAUUUUAUAUUAAAAUUGUCUCUUGAAAAAAUAACUUCAAAACACGUAAGUUAAAAACCUUUAACAAGUUCUCAAUAUCGUAAAUGUAACCAAAUAUUCAAAUUAUAUAAUUAUGCUACUUUUGAUCGAGGUUACAAAUGCCUCACAACAACAUUGAACAAAACAUCCAAGCCAUUCAUCACAUGAAUGACCUCAUGUGUGAACAUCCUCCCUAACUAAUGAGAGAGCAUUUGUAGCAUAUGAAGCAUUCUUACCACUAGCUCAUAAAAUGAUAAUGUUUGAGUAAGAAAUAGGCAAGUAAUGUAACAAUAUGAAACUAUGUAUGAAUUAUGAUAUUUGAGUGGACUUGAAGCUAUCUCGGCCGUCGAGAUAUUAGUCCAAUCAAAAUCAUGUUGCUUCUUUAAAUCGCACAUUUGUAAGCUAGACUUGAGAUCACAUGGCCAAGGAAUGCCAUAGGAACCUCGAACUAUAUCACUCAACUAUGUGUAUAUGUAUUAAUUAAGGGUGAGAUAGGGCUCAAGCCCAAAUACAAUUAAAAUCACACUAUUAUCAUAUUAUUAUAUAAUUUUUAAUAUUAUACUUUGUAUUUUAUUGAAAUAUUAAACAAAAUAUUACCAUCACUACCAAACAAACUCCAACUAGCAAUGCAAAACACACCUCAAAUGUAACGUUCAAACUGGCAGUUCUAUUUAUUAAGAGCUUAUGCCAAACAAGGACUAGAGAAACCCCUUCUCUUUGCAGCAUUGAAUUGCUUCAUCAAACAUCUCAUCCAGCCCAUACUUAUACUUGAAACCAGUAUCCAAUAGCUUCUUUGACGAGACGCCAGGUGUUCCAUACCCUUGAACCUCCUUCAAAGAACUGCAAAACAAAAAAACAAAAAAGCAAUUGAAUAUUUUUGUCUUUUCAGAUCAACAGAUAUGAAGCCAAAAAACAUGGAGCAAUUGUUAAGAAAGGAUUAAAAUGGAACAGAACUCACUCUAUAGUGGGUAUUGGAAGUUGUGGGUACUUGGCAGAAAGAAACUCAGACAUCUCAUUCAGUGUCAGUCUGUCUGAUGAACAAAUAUAUCUGCCUUUUGCAUCUGGGCAUUCCAGAAGAAAGAUGUGUGCACUGCAUACAUCAUCCACGUGCACCAUUGAUAUGUUCAUAAGAACAUGAUACUGUUGCUGGUCACCUGUAUAUGUCAAGAAAAUUAUGAAAAAGGUAUUUUCAGAAGAAAGUGCCAAUAUAUAUCACAUGAUUCAAUUAGAACAUGUGUGUCUUCACAAAGUGAAGCAACAUACCUAAGACCAGAGCCAGUGCGGUGUUCACCGAUCCAGGGAACCGGGGACAAAUGAAGGGGCCCACAACAAAAGAAGGAGUCACAGUCACCAGAUCCAAUCCAUGCUCUUGUGCAAAAUCAAGCGCUGACCUUUCGGUUAUUGUCUUGGAAAUCAUGUAUGAUUGGCCCCAGUAGUUGAGAGCCUUGAGGAAAUCUACAUCAGUCCAUGAACUCUCAUCCUUUAUGUCUCCACCCUUGUCAUUGAGCACAACAGCAGCUGUACUGGAAGUAUACACAACUCGCUUCACCGUCUUUGAAUUCAGGCACGCCUUUAAAAUGCCUAAAGUGCCUUCCACCGAUCUUUUGGUCACAGUUUCCUCUGGUUCUGUGUCCUCAAAAUCUACGGGAUGAGCAACAUGGAAAACCCCGAUACAUCCUUCAAUGGCUGCUUCAAAACUGCUGGGAUCACUCAGAUCUGCGUUGUAGAUUCGGAGCUUUUCCGAUGCUCCCGGAAGGUUUGUCAGGUAGCUAACGUCUUUCUUGCUCUCUGAUCAUAUUGAAAUUUUUGCAAUUUCUAGAGUUAGCUUCUUUGCUAAAAAAACCCAGAAUGACAAAACAUUUCGUACUCCAAAACACGAUUAAUAAUUUU